GUGCUCAUAGUUAGGUUAUGCAACUGUUACUUGGAAUUAAUUGUCUCCUACUUGCACAUUCUAGGGUACUUGGGUUUCUAUGGGAGUAUACUCUGAUGGCUCAUACAAUGUGCCAGCCGGGCUUAUCUAUUCCUUCCCAGUAACCUGCGCUAAUGGAGAAUGGAAAAUUGUUCAAGGUUAGGCUGCCUUGAUAUCAAAACAUGCUACAUGGUUAUUAUCUUUAGUAAUGAAGUCAUAAAGCAAUGUUUUUAAGCAAAUUUUACUUUGUUGUGCCUUAAUUUAUAUAUUAUUUUGCCAAAUAUGUGUCUUAAUUUUACUUUGACUCAUUGCAGGACUUUCCAUUGACGAAUUCUCAAGGAAGAAACUGGACUUGACGGCUGAGGAACUCAGUGAGGAGAAGGCAUUGGCAUACUCCUGCCUCUCUUAAAUUUCUCGUCUUCUGCAACAGUGUGGAAACUGGAAGAGAACAAGAUUAAUAAUGCAACUCUCUUGAAAUUGCAAAACGCUAAUGAUGCAAGUGCUCAUUAUGCAGAUCCUCUUUGUUGUCGGAUCUAUAUGUAGUUUUGUGUUUUAAAUUCGGGCAAACUUAAAAUUUAGGCUUUCAGAUUACUGUCAUGGAGAGUUGAUAUGGAUGUUGCUUGCCCAUUGUGAUAAAAAAGGACAUGUAUUUUUCAUUUGCCUUUGAUUAUUCUUAACACCGUUGCUUUUCACUGUGAGCUGGUGCGAUUGUUAUGUGUGUUUCCUGUGGAUGUCUUUUUCACUUAUAAUUUAUGGCAUAUAUAUCAAUGUUUUAUCCAAAAAUGAUCUCGGGGAAAACGUUUAUAUUUUUUCAGAAGUAAAAACAAACAUCUGUAAGCGAUUAAGAACCGGUUAUGCAGCAAGGCAAGUGUAAGAGCAUCUCCAAGGUUAAUAUGUAAACUCAUUAGCUAUAAUGCUCAUCUAAAUGGACAAUACAAUUUUUUUGCUAACAGUGAAGGUUUUCACUCCAAUGAUGUUAUGUAAAAUUAUUAUAAGCUAAAAUUAUACCUAACAACCUAAUUGAUUCAACAAAUCUAUUGAAUCAUUCUUUGUAAUCUAUAAUUUUUUUGCUAAAGGGUGAUGGUUGGAGUGCAACUUUUUUUAUAUAUUAUGUAAAAGAGCCACGUAGAUGACACAUAGGAUGACAUAUAGAUUUUUAGCUAAUAGUUUUCACCCAUUGGAGAUACUCUAACAGUUUAUGAAGAAAUCUAGUCCUUAACAUUAUGAAAAAAGCUUGAUUUGCGUGCCGAGGAUCACGUAAAGAAGACACGGGUGAAGUAUGAUCUUGUGAUGGGUGAAAUAUAUUUGUGGACACGAAGGAACCCAAUAAUAUACGUUACUUUUUUUUAAUAAUUUCCUACAAUAAUUAAAAUGUCAGAAAUCUGAAGUCUUAUGGUCCAAUACGACAUUGUAAUCGUGGAAACCUGAGCUACAUUAUUUUUCGCGAGCAAGUGCUUUUUAGAAAAAGACGCGACUCCAGGAAGGGUCUCACUCUCCUCAGUAGGGGAGAGCAUGACCGGUUCGGCUCGGUUUCCGGAUAAAACCGGAACCGCAAUCAUAUAUUUUCGGUUUUUAAAAUCAAAAACCGCAACCGCCGGUUCGAAUUUGGUUUCAGUUUAAAAAAGCUCGGUUCGGUUUUGUAACACCCCACUUUUACAAUGGGGCUAAACGAUUAAAUAAUUCUAAAUUCAUUCAGAAAUAAUAUAAUAAUUUAACAACCAAAAUGUCAAUAUGGAUAAUAAAGUCUGAAACUCCAUGAUAAUAAAUCCAACAAAGUCUGAAACCAAUAGAAAUAUAAGCUCUAAAGUCUUAUUAUAGCCCCUAACAACGAAAGCAACUAAAGGUGGGUGUCACUCAUCACGAUCCCCGCUACCCCUGAUUACCUGCGGAAAGAAAGCAAACGAGAGUGAGCCAAUGCCCAGUACGAAUAUAAAAAUAGUGUAGGUGCAAAGAGUAUCAAUAAUCUCGAAACAAUGAUUACAAUAAAUUGGUACAAAUAAGUACCUCAAGUCACAAUAAUCGAGAUAAACAAUGAACUAUAAAUAAGACUCAAUGAUGAAUAAAUGACACAAUACGGGUCUCUUACACAAAACUGUACUUGCUCAACUCCAAUCACCGAGCAAAUACAGAACAAUGAUUUCUUCUUCGGUUAUCCACAAGAAGAAAUAAAGAAUGUAUGAAACAUUCCACAAAACAAUAACGAUCAUGAUCUUCUCACGUCUCAUACCCCAGAAACGUGCUCGUAUGCUUAAAUCACCGAUACGAGUUGGUGUCUAGUUCACCUUUACUACGAACUCCAUGUGAACAUUGUCCGUGAUUUACCCACACGGAUAAGUUUAAGAGCCCAAACAAUUACAAAAGUUGCCGACUCAAUGAACAAAAUAUAUACAGUGGUACAAUCAUAAAACGAAAGGAAACAAUAGGAGUCAAGGCAACAAUAAUUCAAAUAUAUGAAGGCCAAGUGAAAAGAGUGAUGUGCAAUAACAAAAGAGAUUUUAAGAAUGUCAAAAUAAUAAAUAUCAUAAAUAUUUAUUAUUUAAGUAAAAGAGAGAAAAGAAUAGAAUCCGUACCUGAUAUAACAACACUAAUUUAGUUGUGAUCAAAACUGAAGCUACUCCUCCUUAUGAAUCUAUAAUCAAUUUAAAUUAAUUCAAACAUAUCAGUUUUAUGCAUUUCCAAGUUCAAUCUUGUCACUAUAAAUAGUAUAUAUAUAUCACGUAAAAUACAACUAACCAAAAUAAUUUAGGUGUCUUCCAACUAUUAUUCCAGGAGCGACAUAUUGCAUAAAGAAUAAAGUAAAACAAUAACAAUGAAGCCAAUACUAGAACCUGGUUACUACAACUAGUUAUAAAUAAUAUUAUAAACAAAUAAAAAGCAUAAUCAUCGUUUAGGCACUCAAGCAGCACAGCGUGGCACCUGGUUCUAUCACCAGACUUUAUAAGCCAUCAAACUACUUCAAUUUAACCAACACUUAUUACUGCAUUAACUAGUAACGUCAGCCGGAAGGGUACAACUACAAAUAAUAAUAAUAAUAACAACGUAUAAUAAUAAUAACAUAUAAGCAUAUUUAGUACUCGAUAAUAUUGUUAUUAAAUCUAUAUAUAAUAUAUAAUAUAGCAAGAGAAUAAACUACACACAAUCAUCUUGAAGUUCAGAUGCAUGCACAUAUACACAUAUGCUUAUACUUACUUACCUUUAAUUUAAUAAAAAUAAAAUAAUCUCACACUUUAAUAAUAAACAUAAGAAAUAUUAUUGUUUUAAAGAAUGGUACUAGUUUUAGUAACGGAACACAAGCUCGAGAACAUGGUUAUGAAACAAGAAAUUUGGUGAGGAUUAAAGUCAUAAUUAUUACAAAUAAAAAUAAUAAAUACAGUAACUCUCUAUUUUAAAACACAAUAAAAGGAUGCAGUGAUUUUGAAAUCAGACUCUCAAUUAUUUUUAAUUAAAAUAACUAGCAAAACACAUUAUCAAAAUCUAAUUUACCAAUAUAUAAUAAGGCAAACUCUACUUUAUAAACAAUCAAUCCUCCAAACACUAGUACACUGCCCAAACUCCCGUAUCUACGUAAUAGGGUUCGGCACAUGAGUCUGGACACCUUAGGCUUAUAACCACACUGAAUUAUCAACAAGUACCAAACGUAACAAAGUUACAGUUCCAAUAAAAUAGGAUAUUGCCAGAGUAUUUAAAAAAAACAAUACAUGUAACCCCACAUAUAAACCUUUAAGAAAAUAACCAACAGUAGGAAAUUCACAUUAAUAAUCACCAUAUUAAAAUAUCAUAAAUAUAUGUACCCAGAUUUCAAUUAUAUAAAUAAAUAAAUUAAUAUAAAACCCAGAUAAAGGAAGAAUAUGUACAAAUGUAUUUUGAUGUAAAAAAAAAUACAAAACUAAAUGAAUAAAUUAAUUGGUAAUUAGAUACACAAGAGGUAUUUUGCUUACCGAAAUAGAAUGCUCUCAAAAUGAUGAAUGCAGCACAGCGUAUAAUUAGUAUACUAAUUAUGAACCUGAAAUAAAUUCAACACAAUUAAUAUAAUUUUAUAAGUGUAACAAAUAUAUUUGGGUAUGAAGAUUUGAAUCAAACCUCCACCAUUUACCAAGAAUUACCAGUAUGUAACUUUCUCGUCGCACCUUCCUUAAUAAUAUGCUACACCUUGUAUAUUGCACCAAAAUCUAUCCAAUCAUGUACUGUGUUUUACUACCGCAUGCAUACUCUCUCACGCUUGCCACCAGUAGAAUAAUUAUAUUUAACUCUGUUGUGGAUGACUUAGAUGUGUUCUCGAAAUUUAUAGUAAAUAAAGAUAAGUAUGCUUUAAAGAUUAGCAUCAAAAUAUUCAAAAUAUUAUGCCUCAUCUAAAGUUUAGUUACAGUUUCAUCCUAAUCCUUAACCAACUAAUUAGUCGAUUAUGCAUAUCCACAAUAAUAUUUAGAAUAUAAACCAAAGAUUGUUUUAAUAUUAUUUUAUAAUAUUAAUAACUAAUUAAAUAAUAAAAACCUGGUUGUUAUAUCCUUCCCCCCUUAACAAUAAUUUCGUCCUCGAAAUUAAAGGCACGAACCUGAUUCAAAAAGAUAUGGGUACUUUGCGCGAACAGACUCCUCAGUUUCCCACGUAGCUUCUCGAACAUCAUGGUUCUUCCAAAGAAUCUUAACAAAAGGAAUCGUGUUUUUACGCAAGACUCUCUCCUCUCUCGCCAAUAUAGCCUCGGCCUCUUCUUCACAAGACAAGUCCUCUCGAAAUGCGUCCAAAGGAUACUGAACAAUAUGAUGUGGAUGGUAAACAUAUUUUCUCAAAAGUGAUGCGUGGAAUACAUUAUGAAUCCGUGAUAACUGUGGUGGCAAUGCAACUCUAUACGCCACUGUUCCGACUCUCUCAAGAAUCUCGAAAGGUCCAAUAUACCUCGGACUCAAUUUACCCUUUUGACCGAACCGCUGAAUGCCCUUCGAAGGAGAUACUUUUAGAAAAACGUUGUCACCAACUUUAAACUCAUACUCUCGUCGACCUUUAUCUGCAUAACUCUUUUGUCUUGACCGGGCCUGUCUAAGCCUCUCUCGAGCUACCUCUACCUUAUCGGUAGUGACCUGAACCAGAUCGGGACCCUCCAAAAGUUUCUCACCCACUUCAUUCCAACAAGUUGGUGUUCUACACUUGCGCCCAUAAAGUGCCUCAAAGGGAGCCAUACCAAUGCUCGCCUGCCAACUGUUGUUGUAAGCAAACUCCACCAACGGCAGAUACUCAUCCCAAUUUCCUGACCAAUCCAAUGCACAUGCUCGUAACAUAUCUUCCAAAGUCUGAAUUGUCCGCUCUGACUGUCCAUCUGUCUGUGGAUGAAAAGCUGUACUGUAGUUUAGUUUGGUACCCCAUGCUUUCUGAAAUCCUUGCCAAAAUUUUGAAGUGAAUCUAGGGUCUCUAUCAGAAACAAUCGAAACUGGAAUCCCAUGAAGUCUCACAAUCUCAUUCCUGUCGGAAUAAAAGAAUUAGGCAUUUUUUGCAUCUUGCCUUGGAGUCUUAUUUUCUGUUUUAAGCAUUUUUUGUGUUUCUGCAUUUUUUACUUGUAUUGAGGAAAUUAUGUCUUUGUUGCAGGACAAAUCGGAUAUGCUCUUGUACCGAUGAUUGCCAGAGGAGUGAUGUUGGGUCUUGACCAACCGGUAAUCCUCCACAUGCUUGAUAUUCCACCAGCUGCUGAAGCUUUGAAUGGAGUGAAAAUGGAGUUGGUCGAUGCUGCUUUUCCCCUCUUGAAAGGUUAGUUUCUACACUUUCUUUAUGUAACUUUGACUUUUGAAAGAAAUAAUCACAAUUCGGAAGUAUUUAAUCUGACUAUAGCUUUUCAUGUUACAAUUUGUACCAGGUGUUGUUGCAACAACUGAUGUUGUUGAGGCAUGCACUGGAGUUAACUAUGCAGUAAUGGUUGGUGGAUUCCCGAGAAAAGAAGGCAUGGAAAGGAAGGAUGUGAUGACAAAGAAUGUGUCCAUUUACAAGAGUCAAGCUUCAGCUCUUGAGAAGCAUGCUGCUGCAAACUGCAAGGUAACUGAAUUUUUCACUAUUAUAGUCUAUAACAUGAAUCCUAAUGAAAUCAUGUAAUAGAUGUUUGUAUAUUAUUGUUUAUGUGAAGAUACAUGCAUUUGAUGUUUAGAUUUUAUCAGGGAUGUACAUGUAUGUGUAAUAAAUGCCAUAAGGAAUUAGUACGCUCGCAUUGUAGCUGCUGUUGAUUAUUCUUAUGCACUCUAUCAACAACUGGAAUGAGGGAUAAAUAAUUUGAAAUUGUUGAUAUUUCUUGAUUCAGGUCCUGGUAGUUGCAAACCCUGCCAACACCAACGCGUUGAUCUUGAAGGAAUUUGCACCAUCCAUCCCUGAGAAGAACAUAACUUGUCUUACAAGAUUAGAUCAUAACAGGGCACUUGGUCAAAUCUCUGAGAGAUUGAAUGUUCAAGUAUCCGAUGUUAAGAAUGCUAUCAUCUGGGGAAAUCACUCAUCAACACAGUAUCCUGAUGUCAACCAUGCAACUGUUGGGGGAAAGCCUGUCAGAGAGCUUGUUGCUGAUGAUGAAUGGUGAGUCGAUAAGAUUGUCUAUUCUUGUUUAUGGGUUCGUCAUAUUCGAUGACGUUAACUAUGAGAACUUGUUAAAUCUGUUCCCAUAUUUGAACUAAUGGACUGCUUUCGUUCAGGUUGAAUGGAGAAUUCAUUAAAACUGUCCAACAACGUGGUGCUGCAAUUAUCAAAGCUAGAAAGCUCUCCAGUGCAUUAUCUGCUGCUAGUUCAGCUUGUGACCACAUUCGUGAUUGGGUCCUUGGGACACCAGAGGUUAGUCCUGUCUAAUUUUGGUUUUCUGUUUAGUGGUACUUUCCGAUGUUGGUGCUCAUAGUUAGGUUAUGCAACUGUUACUUGGAAUUAAUUGUCUCCUACUUGCACAUUCUAGGGUACUUGGGUUUCUAUGGGAGUAUACUCUGAUGGCUCAUACAAUGUGCCAGCCGGGCUUAUCUAUUCCUUCCCAGUAACCUGCGCUAAUGGAGAAUGGAAAAUUGUUCAAGGUUAGGCUGCCUUGAUAUCAAAACAUGCUACAUGGUUAUUAUCUUUAGUAAUGAAGUCAUAAAGCAAUGUUUUUAAGCAAAUUUUACUUUGUUGUGCCUUAAUUUAUAUAUUAUUUUGCCAAAUAUGUGUCUUAAUUUUACUUUGACUCAUUGCAGGA
rnacentral:lncRNA from 1 species